GGAUCAUCAUACCCAAGGAAUACUCCCUAUAAUGUGCUUGCUGCAUGUACAUAAUUACUAAGGACCUCAGAGUCAAGAGUAUUCUGCUAUCUGGGUCAAAUGGUGAUAAAGCCCAACUGCCACAACUGGCCAUAGGGCAGUCAGCUGUGGACAUUAGACUCGUGGUGAUUCAAAGUUUUCCAGAAGUGGAUGGAACUUUGUCUUUACCACAAUGAAUGAAAGAAUUACCAGCUGCAUGGGGUGGAAGGAGAUCUGCAAUGAAGCAAGGUUUUCUCACUGAACCUGGAGCUCAUCAGCUGGCUACGCUGACUAGAUAAUAAGAUUCUUCAGACCUGUCCAGCCCUGAAGUUUCAGAGUCACGGCUGUGCCUUACAUUUUAUCAGCGUUCUAUGGGCAACCAAAUCAGGUCCUCAUGUUUAUGUGAAUUACAUGUUGGAGCUGGGGAGAUGACUCAUGGCCAGAGAAUUUGCAUUCCGAUCCCCAAAACUUAGGGAAAGCAAGACUGAAGCUCCUGAGCCAAUUGGUUUGGAACCUUAAGACCAGCAUGAGGUCCUAUAUUGGCAGUGCAUGUACAUGUAUCUGCACU